GCUUACACCCAGUUUCCUGUAAU
rnacentral:miRNA from 1 species